GCUUCCGGUUCGGUGGCGAAAGCUUCUUGACUCAUCUGGGUUUCCUGUUUUCUCUUGUUUUUGGAAUGGGGUAAGAGAGAGCCUCUGUGAAGUUCAGCCAAUCAAUACACCUCCUUGGCCUGGUAAUUCAGAUGAAUGAAUGAAAGCUCACUUGUUCAAGGACACUAUGCCCCCUGGCUCCAUCAGAGGGCACGGGGAGUCCAGCAGCUUCUCCACGUGUUCUGUUCUCUGAGGGACUCUUCACGUCUCAUCUGUCAUUGUGUCAGCCCCCUUCAGGGUGUGACUGCUGGAAGAAAGCUGCUAGCAUAAUUUCCUAUUUGGCUCUGUCUGAUAUGGAGCCCUUAGGGAACCUGUUUACAUGCUCAACUUCCUUCCUGAGCCACCCCCACCCAACACAGGCCGGAAGGAUAUGGGUAUCAGGUGGGAGAAGACAGGGCUGGACACAGGAAAGAGAUGGUGUAUUGGGUAACUAGGAAAGCUUUGCAACUUAUCCCAGAAGGGACUGAGCAAGUAGUCUUAGUGGGUCUAAGGCUAUUGAGGGAUUUUGCAAUCAAGUGCCCUAGUUUCUGGGUCAGGGAGGGAGAAGUUGAAAGCAGUGACAAAAUCAGUGGCAGCCGCGUCUCAGGCAGGAGCAUUUGUUCUUAAUGAGUUUCUCAUAUGUCUGAGAAUUUAUUAGCCUACGUUUUCUGUAUAGUUUGAGGAAUUACUCCUUCCAUCUUGUGUUUUUCCUUUUCCACUACCUUUGAUACCUAAAGAUGGUUUUUAUGUUGUCUUUAGAACAAAGGGGGUAUAAUUGUCACUUACUUGAGGGCCCUGACGGAACCACCAGAAAAAAAAUGUAACAUUUAUUUAAAUACAUUCUUACGUAGAUCUCAGAAUGUCCUGUUGGUAAAUGGAGUUUGUUUAGCUACUUAAGUCAAAUCAAGAGCUUUUGUGCAGUUGGGCAAUGUGAGGAACUGAACUUAACUAACCUUCCUGAGAAAAUGUCCAAAAAGGUGAUUAAUUUUGUGGCUCAAUAAUCAAACACAGGCAACUGCCAGAAGUGUUCAUGAAAAAUCAUGAAGAUCAGCAUAAGCUUGAACAAGAAUUGUGAAAAACAGCUGGAGCUCAGCAUGGCUACCUAUGCAAACUGAGUAACUGCCGACUGGAGCUUUAAUUCAUUUCAAUUGAUCUGGACAUCUAUCUACCUUGGUUUUGUAGCUAUGCUGGCUAGCAGCAAGAGUUCAAGUAUUUUGUCUUGUUUGAUUUCUGGGCUAAUAAACUUGUCCCUUCCUUGA